UGCACGCAUGAAUGUAAGUCAAUUUGGAUAGAAUAGUCUGCUAAAUGGCAUAUA
rfam:Salmo salar isolate Sally breed double haploid chromosome ssa12, whole genome shotgun sequence.